rnacentral:lncRNA from 1 species
GGGCCAGCAGCGGGGGGGGGGGAGGGGACACCGCCCCCGGCGCCGGGUGGCACCGCCGGGAGGGUGACGCGGAGACGGGCACGGGGCCAGGAGGAGGCGGUGGUGGCGGCGGGGACGCUGGGGGAGGGUGCCUACAAGGGGUUUACUCCGGGUGCUACAACGGGUUUACACCUGGUCCUGCAACAGGUUUACACCUUGUGGUACAAUGGGUUUACACCUUGCACUACAAUUAGUUUACACCUGGCACUACAAUGGGUUUACACCUGGUGCUACAACGGGUUUACACCUGGUCCUGCAACAGUUUUACACCUUGUGGUACAAUGGGUUUACACCAGGUGCUACAAUGGGUUUACACCUGGUGCUGCAACAGGUUUACAGCUUGUGGUACAAUGGGUUUACACCUUGUGCUACAAUGGGUUUACACCUUGCACUACAAUUAGUUUACACCUUGCAUUACAAUGGGUUUACACUGGGUGCUGCAACAGGUUUACAGCUUGUGGUACAAUGGGUUUACACCUUGCACUACAAUUAGUUUACACCUGGCACUACAAUGGGUUUACACCUGGUGCUACAACAGGUUUACAGCCUGAGGUACAAUGGGUUUACACCUUGCACUACAGCUGGUUUACACCUUGCACUACAAUGAGUUUACACCUUGCACUACAACUAGUUUGUCUUGCACUACAACUGGUUUACACCUUGUGUUACAGUGGGUUUACACCUUGCACUACAACUAGCUUACACCUUGCACUACAACUAGUUUACAUCUUGCCCUACAACUAGUGAGUGCCUUGCACUACAACUAGUUUACACCUUUCACUACAACUAGUUUACACCUUGCACCACAACUAUCUUGCACUACAACUAGUUUACACCUUGCACUACAACUAGUAUCUUGCACUACAACUAGCUUACACCUUUCACAACUAGUAUCUUGCACUACAACUAGUUUACACCUUGCACUACAAGUAGUGUCUUACACUACUAGUGUUUUCCACUAAUACCUAUGUGUAUCUCGCACUACAACUAGUUUACACCUCACACUACAACUAGUAUCUUGCACUACAACUAGCUUACACCUCACACUACAACUAGUGUCUUACAGUAGUAGCAUUUUUCACUACUACCAGUGUGUAUCUCUCCCUACAACUAGUU